CACUGCAACCUCCGCCUCCCAAGUUCAAGCGAUUCUCCUGCCUCAACCUCCCGAAUAGCUGGGACUACAGGCAUGUGCCACCACGCCCAGCUAAUUUUUUGUGUUUUUAGUAGAGACGGGUUUCACCGUGUUAGCGAGGAUGGUCUCGACCUCCUGACCUCAUGAUCCACCCACCUCAGCCUCCCAAAGUGCUGGGAUUACAGGCAUGAGCCACCGCGCCCAGUCCCAAAUUCUUCUUAAGUGCACAUGGAACAUUCUCUAGGACAGACCAUAUGUUAGGACACAAAACCAGUUCAAUAAGUUUUAAAAUAUCAACAUUAUGGGCUAGGCACAAUGGCUCACACCUGUAAUCCCAGCACUUUGGGAGGCCAAGGCGGGUGGAUCACCUGAAGUCAGGAGUUUGAGACCAGCCUGGCCAACAUGGCGAAACCCCGUCUCUACUAAAAAUACAAAAAUUAGCCAGGCAUGGUGGCAUGCGCCUGUAAUCCCAGCUACUCGGGAGGCUGAGGCAUGAGAAUCUCUUGAACCCGGUAGGCAGAGGUUGCAGUGAGCCAAGAUCAUGCCAUUGCACUCCAGCCUGGGCGACAAGAGUGAAACUCCAUCUCAAAAAAAAAAAAAAAAAAAUCAACAUUAUACAAAGUAUCUUGUCUAGUUACAACAGAAUAAAGCUAGACAUCAAUAAUGGAAGGAAAAUAGCUACAAAAAUAUACAACAGCAACCUAUUAGAAAUGCAAGGACAGCCUGGGCACAGUGGCUCAUCCCAUAAUCCCAGCACCCUGGGAGGUCGAGGCAGGUGGACUGCUUGAGCCCAGGACUUUGAAGCCAGUCUGGGCAACCUAGUAAGACCCCAUUGUUGCAAAAAAUACAAAAAAUUAGGCUGGGCACAGUGGCUUACACCUGUAAUCCCAGCACUUUGGGAGGCUGAGGCGGGUGGAUCGCCUGAGGUCAGGAUUUUGAGACCAGCCUGACCAACAUGGUGAAACCCCGUCUCUACUAAAAAUACAAUUAGCCAGGCACAGUAGUGGGCACCUGUAAUCCCAGCUACUCAGGAGGCUGAGGCAGGAGAAUUACUUGAACUUAGGCGGCAGAGGUUGCACUGAGCCGAGGUCGCGCCACUGCACUCCAGCCUAGGCAAAAAGUGAAACUCCAUCUCAAAAAAAAAAAAAAAAAAAAUUAGCUGGACAUGGUGGUGUGUGCCUGUGGUCCAGCAACUCUGGAGGCUGAGGUGGGAGGAUCACCUGAGCCUGGGAGGUCAAGGCUGCAGUGAACCAUGAUUGCACCACUGCACUCCAGCUUGGGCAACAGAGUGCAACCCUGUUUCCACCCCCAAAAAAGAAAGAAAUGUAAGGACAGAGUGAUAAAUCUAAAAUUUUAGUUAGCAGUUUUAACAUACCUGUUUUAAUAAGUUAAUACAUCAAGUAAAAACAAAAAGUAUGCAGAGGGUUUAAAUUACACAAUUAGCAAAGUAUGUCAUAGAUAUACAGAUAAACUUUGUACCCACUAAGAGAGAAUAUUCAGUCUCCUGUUUUUGUUUUUGUUUUUUAGUGAGACAGGGACUCACACUCUCAGCCCAGGCUGGAGUACAGUGGUGCUAUCAUAGCUCACUGCAGCCUAGAACUCCUGAACUCAAGCAAUCCUCCCACUUCAGCCUCCUGAGUAGCUGGGACCACAGGGGUGCACCACCAUGCCCAGCUAGUUGUCAAAAAUGUUUUGUAGAGGCAGGGUCUCCAUAUGUUGCCCAGACUGGUCUUGAACUUCCAGGCCCAAGCAAUCCUCCUGUCUCAGCAUCUCAAAGUGCAGGGAUUACAGGCAUGAGCCACUGCACCCAGCCUUAUGUGUUUUAAUGUAUCAAUUUUUAAAGAACAACAAUUCAAAAGAAAAGCCAAAAAGGAUGUGAACAGUCACUUCUCAGAAAAGGAGAUGCAAACGGCUCUUACACAUGUGAAAAAUGCUUAAUCUACUCAUAACCAGAGAAAUGCAAAUUCUCUAAUGCAAACUGCCCAGAGAGACCUUGGCUUCUAAAUAUCAUUCUCCAAUGAAAAGAACAGAACUUUUUGGAGGAAUGGGUGAUUCUAGAGCUGGGAUGCAGAGAAUACAAAAUGAACCUUGAGCAUCUUACAGUGUCAUAAAAUAAGGAAGUGGGGCGGGGCGAGAUGGGAGGCAUGUUAAGUACACAGGAGCUCACUUACAUACUGAAUGAAGUCCCUAACGAAGGGGGCCUAGGGGCCAAAUUGAAACAACUUAGCUAACAAAAUUAAGUAUGAUGGGUUUUGUUUGUUUGUUUGUUUGUUUGUUUGUUUGUUUUUGAGACAGAGUCUCGCUCUGUCACCCAGGCUGGAGUGCAAUGGCACAAUCUUGGCUCACUGCAACCUCCGCCUCCCGGGUUCAAGCGAUUCUCCUGCCUCAGCCUCCCGAGUAGCUGAGAUUAUAGGUGCACGCCACCACGCCCAGCUAAUUUUUUUGUAUUUUUUAGUAGAGACAGGGUUUCACCAUGUUGGCCAGGCUGGUCUCAAACUCCUGACUUUGUGAUCCACCUGCCUCGGCCUCUCAAAAUACUAGGAUUACAGGCAUGAGCCACUGUGCCCGGCCAGUACGAUGGUUUUUAAUUAUAACAAAUGAAUUAAAUAAAUAAAUGAGGAAGAAAAAAUUCUUCCUUACCGGAGGCAUGUAGAGGAAAUAGAGCCACCCUGCCUUCAUUCCAUAGCAGACAUUUCCUGAUGUCAUCCUAUGUGACAGGCUCUGGGCUGGGGCUGGGCUAUGACAGUCCCCCUCAGGAGAUCACAGUCUGCUGGCAGGAUGGAUGGUGACAUCAUGAGUGUGCAGUUAACUUAUAUACAGGCACCCACCCACUUCUCCUCUUUCAGCUUCUCUAGUUCAGUGCCAUAUUUUGCUUUUUCUCGGUACCCUUUUUGCAAAUUGAGAUAUAAAUUACAUGAAAUAAAAUGCACCCAUUGUAAGUAUAUAGUUUGAUGUGUUUUGACAAAUGUAGGUCCCUGUGUAACCACCACCCCAAUCAAAAUAAAGAACACUUCUUAGCACUCCAGGAAGCUUUCUCCUGCCCCCACCGCAGGCAACCACCGAUCUGAUUUCUGUUACUGUAGCUUACUUUUGCUUGUUCUAGAAUUUCAUAAAAAUGAAAUCAUGGAGUAUGUACCUUUUGAGUCUGGCUUCCUUCCCUCAGCAUGCUGUCUGCAGAAUGCAUCCACAUUGCUUUGUUUAUCAAUGGUUCGUUCCUUUUUCUUGCUGAGUAGUAUUCCAUUGUAUGGAUGGAAGUUUCUUUAUCCCUUCACCUGUUGAUGGCCAUUUGGUUUCCAGUUCAGGCUAUAAAAAUUACGAGGGGGUCAGGCAGGGUGAUUCAGACCUAUAAUCCCAGCACUUUGGGAGGCUGAAGGAUCCUUUAAACCCAACAGUUCAAGACCAGCCAGGGCAACAUAUUGAGACCCCAUCUCUAAAUUAAAAAUUAAGAAAAGAAAUAAGAGGCUGGACACAGUGGCUCACGUCUGUAAUCCCAGCACUUUGGGAGGCUAAGGCAGGUAGAUCAUUUGAGCCCAGGAGUUCAAGACCAGCCUGGGCAACAUGAUGAAACCCUGCCUCUACUAAAAUUACCAAAAAAAAAAAAAUUUAGCCAGCUCUGGUGAUGCACACCUGUAAUCUCAACUACUUGGGAGGCUGAGGCAUGAGAAUCACUUGAACACAGGAGGCAGAGGUUGCAUUGAGCUGAGAUCUUGCCACUGCACUCCAGCCUCAGCAACAGAAUGAGACUGUCCAAAAAACAAAACAAAACAAAAAACAGAAAGAAAAAAUAUAAGGGGACCUCCAAAAGUUCAUGGAAAUUGAAUUAAAAUAUAAAAAUUUUUAAAAAUGAAUUUUGUUUCUCAACAUAAGCUCCACCAAGGUCAAGACACUUUUUCUU
rnacentral:lncRNA from 1 species